GUACUCACUUUGGAAGCACAUAUACUAAAAUCUGAAGAUACAGAGAAUAUUAGCAUUGUCUUUGUGUAAGGAUGACCCACAAACUCAUUGUGUCUUCCACAUUUUU